rnacentral:rRNA from 1 species
UACGGAGGGGGCUAGCGUUGUUCGGAAUUACUGGGCGUAAAGCGCACGUAGGCGGCUUUGCAAGUUAGAGGUGAAAGCCCGGGGCUCAACCCGAUCCGUUAGUAGCUAACUGCAUCGCUAGAAUUGUGGAGAGGUAAGUGGAAUUCCGAGUGUAGAGGUGAAAUUCGUAGAUAUUCGGAAGAACACCAGUGGCGAAGGCGACUUACUGGACACAUAUUGACGCUGAGGUGCGAAAGCGUGGGGAGCAAACAGG